rnacentral:tRNA from 1 species
GCCAGCAUGGUGCAGCGGUUUGCAUGUUGGACUAUGACUUUGCAGACCAGGGUUUGAAUCCCUGCUCAGCCA